rnacentral:piRNA from 1 species
GAAGUGAAUAGGAGGCUAAGAAAGGGAAC